UACGUGGGGGGCUAGCGUUGUCCGGAAUCAUUGGGCGUAAAGAGCGUGUAGGCGGCCCGGUAAGUCCGCUGUGAAAGUCGGGGGCUCAACCCUCGAAUGCCGGUGGAUACUGUCGGGCUAGAGUGCGGAAGAGGCGAGUGGAAUUCCUGGUGUAGCGGUGAAAUGCGCAGAUAUCAGGAGGAACACCGAUGGCGAAGGCAGCUCACUGGGACGGUACUGACGCUGAGGCGCGAAAGCGUGGGGAGCAAACAGG
rnacentral:rRNA from 1 species